rnacentral:rRNA from 1 species
GACGAACGCUGGCGGCGUGCUUAACACAUGCCAGUCGAACGGUGAUGCUCCAGCUUGCUGGAGUGGAUCAGUGGCGAACGGGUGAGUAACACGUGAGCAACCUGCCCCAGACUCUGGAAUAACCGCUGGAAACGGCGUCUAAUACUGGAUACGAAACUGGCCCGCAUGGGCAUGGUUUGGAAAGUUUUUCGGUUUGGGAUGGGCUCGCGGCCUAUCAGCUUGUUGGUGAGGUAAUGGCUCACCAAGGCGACGACGGGUAGCCGGCCUGAGAGGGCGACCGGCCACACUGGGACUGAGACACGGCCCAGACUCCUACGGGAGGCAGCAGUGGGGAAUAUUGCACAAUGGGCGAAAGCCUGAUGCAGCGACGCCGCGUGAGGGAUGACGGCCUUCGGGUUGUAAACCUCUUUCAGCAGGGAAGAAGCGAAAGUGACGGUACCUGCAGAAGAAGCACCGGCUAACUACGUG